rnacentral:rRNA from 1 species
UGGAAACUNUCUGACUUGAGUGCAGAAGGGGAGAGUGGAAUUCCAUGUGUAGCGGUGAAAUGCGUAGAUAUAUGGAGGAACACCAGUGGCGAAAGCGGCUCUCUGGUCUGUCACUGACGCUGAGGCUCGAAAGCGUGGGUAGCGAACAGGAUUAGAUACCCUGGUAGUCCACGCCGUAAACGAUGAGUGCUAGGUGUUAGGCCCUUUCCGGGGCUUAGUGCCGGAGCUAACGCAAUAAGCACUCCGCCUGGGGAGUACGACCGCAAGGUUGAAACUCAAAGGAAUUGACGGGGGCCCGCACAAGCGGUGGAGCAUGUGGUUUAAUUCGAAGCAACGCGAAGAACCUUACCAGGUCUUGACAUCCCGAUGCUAUUCUUAGAGAUAGGAAGUUACUUCGGUACAUCGGAGACAGGUGGUGCAUGGUUGUCGUCAGCUCGUGUCGUGAGAUGUUGGGUUAAGUCCCGCAACGAGCGCAACCCUUAUUGUUAGUUGCCAUCAUUAAGUUGGGCACUCUAGCGAGACUGCCGGUAAUAAACCGGAGGAAGGUGGGGAUGACGUCAAAUCAUCAUGCCCCUUAUGACCUGGGCUACACACGUGCUACAAUGGUCGGUACAACGAGUUGCGAGCCGGUGACGGCAAGCUAAUCUCUGAAAGCCGAUCUCAGUUCGGAUUGGAGGCUGCAACUCGCCUCCAUGAAGUCGGAAUCGCUAGUAAUCGCGGAUCAGCACGCCGCGGUGAAUACGUUCCCGGGCCUUGUACACACCGCCCGUCACACCACGAGAGUUUGUAACACCCGAAGUCG